AUGAGGACUACUCUUAAGGACGCUUUGAAGACAGCUGAUCCACUUCUAUUGUCAAACGUUACUACUCCUUCUGAAAUACUUGCUACACUUGAGUUGAUAACAGAGUUGGCACAAGUAGACAUGUUGCACUCUUACGGAAAGUUGAUUCUUAAUGAAUGCUUGUUUGAAGCUCUAAUGGAGCUUCCCAUGCACAUGAGGAAGGCUUGACUGCUAUUAUUGCCUUGA
rnacentral:rRNA from 1 species